GCUGGGGUAGCUCAAUAGGAGAGCAUUGGUUUUGUAAACCAAAGGUUGCGAGUGCAAGCCUCGCCCUCAGCU
rnacentral:tRNA from 1 species